GGUGUUGCUUUAUCUGUUUUUUGAAACCAGGUUUGCUGUUUAUUUGAGCAAUAUGAGAUGGAACGGAGUUACAUGGAAUAAGGGCUCUAUAUAAUACUGUAUGCUUUCUUGAAUUUGUUCUGGUUUUGGGGACUAUGAAAAGACCCCUGGUGGCAUAAGUGUGUGUGUGUCAGAGCUGUGUGUAAGUUGACUAUGCAAACAAUUUGGGAUUUUCAACACAAUGUUAUUAAAAUAAGUGAAGCAGUCAGUCUCUCCUCAACUCUGAACCAAGAGAGACUGGCAGCAUAGUAUUUAUAUCAGUCCUCUGAUUAUCAUGAAGAACAAGAUGUGCCGCUCUGUUCUGGACCAGCAGCAGCUUAACGAGGUCUUUCUUAGCAGCACUGGACCACAUGACUGGACAGUAAUCAAGAUAAGAACAAACUAGAACCUGCAGAACUUGCUUUGUGGAGUUUGGUGUCAAAAAAUAUAUAUAUAUUUUUUUUACUGAUGAUUUUUGAGAGCGGUUGUAACCAAGGUUUCCAGAAGGGGAAGAAGUGGUGAAAUAAAGAAUUGAAGUACACAACAUGACCAAAGAUACGUGGACACCUGCUUGUCGAUCAUCUCAUUCCAAAAUCAUGGGCGUUAAUAUGGAGUUGGUCCCCCCCCGCUUGACAAAUCAAAUGACAAAACACUCAGCCCUCCAAGACUCAGGUCAGUCAAGAUGUUCCAUGACAUACUUUAGAAGAGAAGUAGGACACACCUCCGGUAAAUAAACUUACAUGGACUCUUGCACCCAGCAGGCCUUCAUGAGAAAUUACAUUUAGGUUAAUGACAUCACAAUGACAGGGAAUGACAUCAUAAUGACAGGGAAUGACAUCAUAAUGACAGGUAAUGACAUCACAAUGACAUCAUAAUGACAGGUAAUGACAUAAUGACAGGGAAUGACAUCAUAAUGACAGGGAAUGACAUCACAAUGACAGGUUGGCAUAUUGUAUUGUGUGUCUAUUUACCGGAGCGUUGUUCUAUUUCUGUUCUUUGGAUUUUAUACAGGAGGAGCCGGCAGCUGAUUUAACUUUGUAUAAAGUGGAUCCGAGCACAUUGUUUCUUUUUUU
ensembl:lncRNA